rnacentral:rRNA from 1 species
UGGGGAAUAUUGCACAAUGGGCGAAAGCCUGAUGCAGCAACGCCGCGUGAGUGAUGAAGGUCUUCGGAUUGUAAAGCUCUGUCUUUUGGGACGAUAAUGACGGUACCAAAGGAGGAAGCCACGGCUAACUACGUGCCAGCAGCCGCGGUAAUACGUAGGUGGCGAGCGUUGUCCGGAUUUACUGGGCGUAAAGGGUGCGUAGGCGGAUGUUUAAGUGAGAUGUGAAAUACCCGGGCUUAACUUGGGUGCUGCAUUUCAAACUGGAUAUCUAGAGUGCAGGAGAGGAGAAUGGAAUUCCUAGUGUAGCGGUGAAAUGCGUAGAGAUUAGGAAGAACACCAGUGGCGAAGGCGAUUCUCUGGACUGUAACUGACGCUGAGGCACGAAAGCGUGGGUAGCAAACAGGAUUAGAUACCCUGGUAGUCCACGCCGUAAACGAUGAGUACUAGGUGUAGGAGGUAUCGACCCCUUCUGUGCCGCAGUAAACACAUUCAAGUACUCCGCCUGGGAAGUACGAUCGCAAGAUUAAAACUCUAAAGUGAAUUGACGGGUC